UACGGAGGGGGCGAGCGUUAUUCGGAAUCAUUGGGCGUAAAGGGCGCGUAGGCGGCCCGCUAAGUCGAACGUGAAAUCCCCGAGCUCAACUCGGGAACUGCGUCCGAUACUGGCGGGCUUGAAUCCGGGAGAGGGAUGCGGAAUUCCAGGUGUAGCGGUGAAAUGCGUAGAUAUCUGGAGGAACACCGGUGGCGAAGGCGGCAUCCUGGACCGGCAUUGACGCUGAGGCGCGAAAGCUAGGGGAGCAAACGGG
rnacentral:rRNA from 1 species